UGGGGAAUAUUGGACAAUGGGCGCAAGCCUGAUCCAGCCAUGCCGCGUGAGUGAUGAAGGCCUUAGGGUUGUAAAGCUCUUUCGUUGGGGAAGAUAAUGACGGUACCCAAAGAAGAAGCCCCGGCUAACUUCGUGCCAGCAGCCGCGGUAAUACGAAGGGGGCUAGCGUUGCUCGGAAUCACUGGGCGUAAAGCGCACGUAGGCGGCUUUCUAAGUCAGGGGUGAAAUCCCGGAGCUCAACUCCGGAACUGCCUUUGAUACUGGAAAGCUUGAGUUCGGGAGAGGUGAGUGGAACUGCGAGUGUAGAGGUGAAAUUCGUAGAUAUUCGCAAGAACACCAGUGGCGAAGGCGGCUCACUGGCCCGAUACUGACGCUGAGGUGCGAAAGCGUGGGGAGCAAACAG
rnacentral:rRNA from 1 species